AUCUAAACCCGUUUGGUAACAAAGACUACCUAGGCCAUUGACUCUAUCUGCCUAUUAGCAUCUUUGGUUUUCCAAAUAGUUCUUCAUAUUCAUUCGUUGCAGUUUAGUCCACUGAAACUUCAAUUUUAGCUCAUCCUGGAUACGAAGGUGUGACUUAGCUUACCUCUGGAAGUCCUCUGUGAUUGUCUAUUCAAAAACAGCUCAUCCUGAUGUCCUAUCUUAGGGGCUUUCAUCGUAAAGUCAAAGGCUCUUUCACUCAGUGCUACUUUCUUUGUGUUCUAUAUUUCAAGGUGUCUGAGGCAGGUGAUGAGACCUUUUUAAUAUAGACCUCAGAUUUCUCUCUAUAACAGUAACAAAUUAGGGCAUUCAUCUAAAAGGGGCACGGUACUUGAAUAGCGCAAUCUCUGAUGAAGAAUGGGCAAAAAAUGGUCCUUGAGUCCUCGAAAUUAGAGCAUUAGUUCUUGUCCUGUAGAAGAAAAGAAAUCAGAACCUUAAGCUGAGCUAAACCGAACAGAAAAGCCAAUAGUGCGGAAUAAAGUGGAAGGUGCUGAAAUCAGGAGCGAGAAGGUGAACGCCGGGAACAUAACAAGUUUCAGAGGUAGGAUGCUUAACACCCAGGGCUCCGAGUCACGUGACACACUAUAUUCAGAAGGCCCAAUCUGAGCUUCACAGUUUCUCAAGAUAGAAAAACAGCAUUCCCAAUUCAGGCUGCAGACGUCCUAGAGAACUGCUGCUGCUGUCGAAGUUAAAAUGGGGCCAGGAUCUUAAGAAGACUAGAGUGAAAAACUAAAUAUACUGUGUGGAUAAUUCAAGUUUUAACAACAGAUUCGCCGUAGUCUUAUGUGUCUUCAUGUUCAGGUGAAAGGAUGAAGAGUGGCAUCAAGACAGCUAAAAGUGGUGCUAUCUUCCCAACUCAGACCUCAUGAUGCCAAGAAAGAAAUGACUCCCAAAAGAUGUCUACAUCUGACCUCUACACAUAGGCACUAAAAGCAUUUGUCCUCCCCCCCCCAACAUACACACAUAUCCAUCAGUCAUACAUGCAAUAGUAACACUUCAACAAAGAUGGCUGCCUAGUUAUGAUUGGUUCAGAGAUACUCAGGAAUCCUUAAGAUAUUAAAGGAAGGUUUUCAGAGA